rnacentral:rRNA from 1 species
AACGAACGCUGGCGGCAGGCUUAACACAUGCAAGUCGAACGCCCCGCAAGGGGAGUGGCAGACGGGUGAGUAACACGUGGGAACGUGCCCUAAGGUUCGGAAUAUUCCCGGGAAACUGGGAGCAAUACCGAAUGUGUCCGAGAGGAGAAAGAUUUAUCGCCUUAGGAUCGGCCCGCGUCGGAUUAGCUAGUUGGUGGGGUAAUGGCCUACCAAGGCGACGAUCCGUAGCUGGUCUGAGAGGACGACCAGCCACACUGGGACUGAGACACGGCCCAGACUCCUACGGGAGGCAGCAGUGGGGAAUCUUGGACAAUGGGCGCAAGCCUGAUCCAGCCAUGCCGCGUGGAUGAUGAAGGCCUUAGGGUUGUAAAAUCCUUUCGCCGAGGACGAUAAUGACGGUACUCGGAGAAGAAGCUCCGGCUAACUUCGUGCCAGCCGCCGCGGUAA